CGUUAUGUAAACUCCCCGAGGCGGAUCCUCACAGAAGGAGAAUGCUGCGAAGCACUUGCAGAACCCGUGCCAAAGCAGUGGUUUCAAUAUUUAAGCAACAUUACUUUAUUUGAUGUAUAUUAAGAUCACUAUAUAGGGCUGUGAGCCCUGACUGAUUUGCCUCAAUAGAGUGUUACAGUUCGUAGUCAUAAAACCCGGAAGUAAGUUCGCAUUUUUUUUAGCCUUGGGUUCCCUCGUCAGAUUCCCAAUGCUUUUUCCCAUAGGGAUUUCGUUUUGUGCCGAAAAUAGAUCUGUGGUUAACGUAAGGGUAAAAGCGUUUCACGUUUUGUUCUACAAGAUAAAUUACACCCAUUGAUAUCUCAAACGUAAAUUCCGAAGCUGUUCUGUGCUUCAAAAUAAGUAAGUUGCUAAAUUGGUAUAUUGAAUGGUAAAUGGACUGCAUUUAUAUAGCGCUUUACAAUUGAUGCCUCUCAUUCGCCAGAGCAGUUAGGGAUUAGGUUUCUUGCUCAAGGACACUUCGACACGCCCAGGGCGGCAACCCUCCGACUGCCAGACAAUCGGUCUUACCUCCUGAGCUAUGUCGCCCCAUAUUGAAACUACAACAGUCGCAUUCUGGCAACCGCCGCUGUCGUUUUCAUUAUAGCUCACGCGACAACCGAUGUGGUUUCAAUAUGACAACUUGUUAGAAACUUACUUUUUAAAAGCACAUGGACUAACGGCUUCAAAAUUCAGUGACUUGCUGUGCGAUAAGAAGCAGCAGCUAAUCAUCACAAGCACGUGUUUGUCUGGUGCUCGUGUGAUGAAUGGAGUUUACCUGCCACGCCCACAUAGUUUACCUGCCAUGCCCACAUAGCUUAAUUUAGCGCACCUGGAUGGACGCCUAACUGAGUGCACCUGACUGGACUAAUUGCCCUGCAAGACAACAGGACUGAAUUAAUAAAAGAGGGACUCUUUUGUGAGAUCCUUCCAUCGAGCCGGAGAAGCCAGCAGAGGCUCCCUGGCUUCGGAUCAAGGCCGAGGGCGCGGCUCCCGAAGAAAUCUCCCCUCGUUUUGGGGUGCGGGGAGUACCCCUUCUGUGGGAUUAGGGCUCCGAACCAAACACGCGCGGUGCGAGGCGAACCCAACUCACCGGUUUGACCUGGGGAGGAUAAAAGGCGGCUUGAUUGCUUUGCCCAGCGAUCAGAUGCACAGGAGGUCCUUUCGGCGAAUCGGAGCUGACCCCCGAUGGCGGCGGCGGAGUGGGUUUGACGUUCCCCCAUACCACCCCCCUCCCCACCCACCCGCCCCCCCACCCCGCUGCUCGGAGGGAGACUGGGUCAAGGAGAGUACACGGGUUUCCUCGCCACGGCUCACGUUCUUAAAAUAAUUGCACUUCAAUCAACGCAGGCUGACAUCAAGUGACCCUCGAUUGCUCUCGACGAAAAGCAAUGAAAGAUUUUUGGAAGCACCAGCAUGCAGUGAUCUCCCCCCGCCAUCUCAGAGAUACUCCGCUUCACCUGCAGCUUUUUCCACAUGUGGACGGGAGACGUGGACGGCUUCCCCAAGCCCCGGUUGACAGACGCGUCUUAGUCAUCCCUCCUGACGGCUUCCCCCACCCCCUCUUUUGAGCGGAUUAUCAACGCUAAGCCAUACCCCCCCCCCCCAACGCAGGUACACCGGGCCAUGCGGAAAUGUGCGCACCGAAACGCCCUUGGACCUCAGCCAGAACUGGACAUGUCCUGGAGGAGCACACACCCACUGUCUUUUUGGCUAAGUUUGGUCACCCCUGAUUUAUGGGAGAGAGCUGUUUAAAUGGAGGAUACACAAACCUCAAACCCAUUGGCUGUGUUCGAUGGGCAGCAGCUGCGUUGGGCCCUGCUCCCGAAACAGCCCUCCCCCCCUCCGGUCGUCCUCGUGGACGCGGACGCCGGCGCGGCUCCCCCAGCUGGGGGCCACACCGAGGCGUGUUUACGCUCAUGCAGCCGCCCCGAUCACAUCCUCAAACAAGCGCCGAGGAGAUAAAACACGAAACAGAACCUCCCUCUCCUUCCUCCGCCUUUCAAAAAAAAUAUAUUCAGCCAUCAUUUGAAGAUUGAUUGUUUUUUUUUUU